rnacentral:rRNA from 1 species
GAGGAAUAUUGGUCAAUGGACGAGAGUCUGAACCAGCCAAGUAGCGUGCAGGAUGACGGCCCUAUGGGUUGUAAACUGCUUUUAUAAGGGAAUAAAGUGAGUCUCGUGAGACUUUUUGCAUGUACCUUAUGAAUAAGGACCGGCUAAUUCCGUGCCAGCAGCCGCGGUAAUACGGAAGGUCCGGGCGUUAUCCGGAUUUAUUGGGUUUAAAGGGAGCGUAGGCCGGAGAUUAAGCGUGUUGUGAAAUGUAGAUGCUCAACAUCUGCACUGCAGCGCGAACUGGUUUCCUUGAGUACGCACAAAGUGGGCGGAAUUCGUGGUGUAGCGGUGAAAUGCUUAGAUAUCACGAAGAACUCCGAUUGCGAAGGCAGCUCACUGGAGCGCAACUGACGCUGAAGCUCGAAAGUGCGGGUAUCGAAC